AUCUGUAAACACUGGCCAUUGAAGAAUACGGUUUCUGAGAAUUUCCACUCUGAAUUCACUUUUAGUUCAGUGUUAUCGCCACCCUGUGGAUUUCUUGGUUAAGGAAGACAGCAGAAUCCAUAUAUCAUUUGACAAUUGUUAGUAACAUAGAACACCAUGAAAUAGGUGGUAAAUCAUAGGAAGGAAAUGUUCCGGUUAAAGCCACCUCAAACUCCGGAGGCCAUUCCUGGGUAGCAGCAAUGCUGUUAUUGUUCUCUAUAAGCUAUCUACCUCGCUGGCUUUGAGCACAACCCAGGAAGAAGUUCAAAACCAAGAAAAUGGUGAUUGGGAAGACCAGGAUGCGCGAUGGCAAGUUGAGGGCAAGCCGGGUACGUGUCCUGAAUUUAUAGAAUCUUUUGACACAAAGCAACAGAGCCACAGUCAAGACUGAAGUCAAAAGGAAUUUAGACCCCGUCUGGGCAAACAGGCCUCUAAGCAACAAUCUAAGAUUUCCACCUAUUGUUCUGGGGUUCCUUGUAUAAAUGAUUAUGACUGCAGAGCUCUUAGGAAGUGCUGUGGUACCUUUAGAUGUGGCCUGAGGUGCACACAUCCUCUUAUGAUUGACCCUGUAUUUUUCAAUUCACCUCCACAAUCCAAGGCAUAAAUAUUGGAUGGAGAAAUGGAUUCAGAUGGAGGCAUCACUGGGCUUAUUCUUGACUCAUCUCAGUCCAAACAUUACUCUCUCAAUCGUUGUUCUUAAAAUCUGCAUAUUAAAAGCUCAG